rnacentral:rRNA from 1 species
CCUACGGGCGGCAGCAGUGGGGAAUAUUGCACAAUGGGGGAAACCCUGAUGCAGCAACGCCGCGUGGGUGAAGAAGUAUUUCGGUAUGUAAAGCCCUAUCAGCAGGGAAGAGAAUGACGGUACCUGAAUACGAAGCCCCGGCGAACUACGUGACAGCAGCCGCGGUAAUACGUAGGUGGCAAGCGUGAUCCGGAUUUACUAGGUGUAAAGGGAGCGUAGACGGUUGUGCAAGUCUGAGGUGAAAGUCCGCGGCUUAACUGCGGAACGGCUUUGGAAACUGUGUAACUGGAGUGCUGGAGAGGUAAGCGGAAUGUCUGGUGUAGCGGUGAAAUGCGUAGAGAUCAGGAGGAACACCGGCGGCGAAGGCGGCUUACUGGACAGUAUCUGACGUUGAGGCUCGAAAGCGUGGGGAGCAAACAGGAUUAGAUACCCCUGUAGUC